UAGGGAAUCUUCCGCAAUGGACGCAAGUCUGACGGAGCAACGCCGCGUGAGUGAAGAAGGUUUUCGGAUCGUAAAACUCUGUUGUUAGAGAAGAACAAGUGCUAGAGUAACUGUUAGCGCCUUGACGGUAUCUAACCAGAAAGCCACGGCUAACUACGUGCCAGCAGCCGCGGCAAUACGUAGGUGGCAAGCGUUGUCCGGAUUUAUUGGGCGUAAAGCGAGCGCAGGCGGUUCCUUAAGUCUGAUGUGAAAGCCCCCGGCUCAACCGGGGAGGGUCAUUGGAAACUGGGGAACUUGAGUGCAGAAGAGGAGAGUGGAAUUCCAUGUGUAGCGGUGAAAUGCGUAGAUAUAUGGAGGAACACCAGUGGCGAAGGCGACUCUCUGGUCUGUAACUGACGCUGAGGCUCGAAAGCGUGGGUAGCAAACAGG
rnacentral:rRNA from 1 species